rnacentral:rRNA from 1 species
AAAGAAACCAACAGGGAUUGCCCUAGUAACGGCGAGUGAAGCGGCAACAGCUCAAAUUUGAAAUCUGGCUCUUUCAGGGUCCGAGUUGUAAUUUGCAGAGGGCGCUUUGGCGUUGGCAGCGGUCCAAGUUCCUUGGAACAGGACGUCACAGAGGGUGAGAAUCCCGUACGUGGUCGCUGGCCUUCGCCGUGUAAAGCCCCUUCGACGAGUCGAGUUGUUUGGGAAUGCAGCUCUAAAUGGGAGGUAAAUUUCUUCUAAAGCUAAAUACUGGCCAGAGACCGAUAGCGCACAAGUAGAGUGAUCGAAAGAUGAAAAGCACUUUGGAAAGAGAGUCAAAUAGCACGUGAAAUUGUUGAAAGGGAAGCGCUUGCAGCCAGACUUGCCUGUAGUUGCUCAUCCGGGCUUUUGCCCGGUGCAUUCUUCUAUAGGCAGGCCAGCAUCAGUUUGGGCGGUUAGAUAAAGGUCUCUAUCACGUACCUCCUUUCGGGGAGGCCUUAUAGGGGAGACGACAUGUAACCAGCCUGGACUGAGGUCCGCGCAUUUGCUAGGAUGCUGGCGUAAUGGCUGUAAGCGGCCCGUCUUGAAACACGGACCAAGGAGUCUAACAUCUAUGCGAGUGUUUGGGUGUCAAGCCCGAACGCGUAAUGAAAGUGAACGGAGGUGGGAACCCUUAAGGGUGCACCAUCGACCGAUCCUGAUGUCUUCGGAUGGAUUUGAGUAAGAGCAUGGCUGUUGGGACCCGAAAGAUGGUGAACUAUGCUUGAAUAGGGUGAAGCCAGAGGAAACUCUGGUGGAGGCUCGCAGCGGUUCUGACGUGCAAAUCGAUCGUCAAAUUUGGGCAU